rfam:Ancylostoma ceylanicum strain HY135 Acey_s0073_scaf, whole genome shotgun sequence.
GUAUAUUUACAUUUUUAGGUGCCAAAAACUUACCUCGGCAUGUUGGUUGGCUCAAUCUGUGCACUGAUGGGUGUACUGACGAUUGCGUUGCCGGUGCCGGUAAUUGUAUCUAAC